CUAGCCUCCAAGACAGCCCCGCCGCCAGAACAGCCUCUCCUCCAGGACCGGCCAGCCUACGAGAGAGCCCCGCCUACGGUACAACCCGCCUCCGGGACCGCAGGACUCCACCUCCGAGACAGCUCAGUCCCCAGGACAGUCCCGCCUCCGAGACGGCCCCGCCUCCAGGACGGCCCCUACCUCCGAGACCGCCCCGCCUCCGGGACCGCCCCGCCCCGCCUCGCCUCCGACACGUCCCCCGGGCGCCACUGCAGAGCCUGUCCGUCAGUCCCUAGGUAUCCGCACUGCUCAGGGAGUUUCGCUCUUGUUGCCCAGGCUGGAGUGCAAUGGUGCGAUCCUGGCUCACUGCAGCCUCUGCCUCCUGGGUUGAAGCGAUUCUCCUGUCUCAGCCUCCUGAGUAGCUGGGAUUACAGGUACCUGCCACCACAUCUG
rnacentral:lncRNA from 1 species